rnacentral:tRNA from 1 species
AGGAAUUUAGGUUAAAACAGACCAAGAGCCUUCAAAGCCCUAAGCAAGUAUGUUAUACUUAACUCCUG